rnacentral:rRNA from 1 species
GUAGGGAAUAUUGCGCAAUGGGGGAAACCCUGACGCAGCGACGCCGCGUGAGUGAUGAAGGCCUUCGGGUCGUAAAGCUCUGUUGCAGGGGAAUAAAAAAAUGAAGGUACCCUGUGAGGAAGGAUCGGCUAACUUCGUGCCAGCAGCCGCGGUAAGACGAGGGAUCCUAGCGUUGCUCGGAAUCAUUGGGCGUAAAGAGGGCGUAGGUGGCUUGGUAAGUCAGGUGUGAAAGCCCAGGGCUCAACCCUGGAAGUGCAUUUGAUACUGCUGAGCGUGAGUGUCGGAGAGGUUACCGGAAUACCUGGUGUAGUGGUGAAAUACGUAGAUAUCAGGUGGAACACCGGAGGCGAAGGCGGGUAACUGGACGAACACUGACACUGAGGCCCGAAAGCGUGGGGAUCAAACAGGAUUAGAUACCCUGGUAGUCC